rnacentral:rRNA from 1 species
GCUAUUUAAAAUAAUUAAAGAGUAUUAUUUUCCACGAAGCCAAGCGAGCUAAAUCUUUUUCAUCUUUAGAGAAUAAAUUUAGUGUAGCAAUACUAAAUUAAUAUGAGAAUUUAGGGGUGAUAGGCCUAACAAGUCUGGCGAUAUCUUGAUAACAAGGAAAUAUAUUUAGUAUAAUAGACAACCUAAGAAUGUUAAGGUUUUUAGGGGGCAUAAUUUAAAGUAUAGAAACUAUUAGCUGAAUACAUAAAAGUUACAGGUUUUUCCUUUUAAAUAUUUAUUACUGUAUGAAUAUGUAAUAGACUUGUAUUUUUAGUAUAACAUAUAAAAUUAAAGCAAAAAUGAUAGCAUUAGUAUUUCUAAAUAAAUUUAUUUAAGGAACUCGGCAAAACUUUUUCUCGACUGUUUAACAAAAACAUUGCUUUAAGUAUAUAAUUUAAAGUUUACCCUGCUCAGUGAGAUAAUUUAAAUAGCCGCAGUACUCUGACUGUGCAAAGGUAGCAUAAUCAAUUGGCUUAUAAUUGAAGUCUAGUAUGAAUGGGAAUCCGGGUAUAAGCUGUCCCAAAUUAAAUCACUUGAACUUUCUUAAUAAGUGAAAAUUCUUAUACAUCUGGAAAAAAGACGAGAAGACCCUAGAAAUUUUUAAAAGUAAUGUUGUUUUGAUUUUUUUGUUGGGGCGACAUGGUAACAUACAAUAUAAACUUACCAGAGUGUAUUUGAAACUAUUUAGUUGUACAUCUAAAUUACUCUAGGGAUAACAGCAUUAUUUAUAUUAUAAGAUUGUGACCUCGAUGUUGGACUAGGGAGCAAUUUACUUAAAAGGUAAACUGAUAAGCUCUGUUCGAGCUAAAUUUCCCUACAUGAUCUGAGUUCAGACCGG